rnacentral:rRNA from 1 species
UACGAAGGGGGCGAGCGUUGUUCGGAUUUACUGGGCGUAAAGGGCGCGCAGGCGGCCGAGUGUGUGAGGCGUGAAAGCCCGGGGCUUAACCCCGGAAUUGCACCUCAAACUACACGGCUAGAGCAUUGGAGAGGGUAGCAGAAUUCAUGGUGUAGCAGUGAAAUGCGUAGAUAUCAUGAGGAAUACCAGAGGCGAAAGGCGGCUACCUGGACAAUUGCUGACGCUCAGGCACGAAAGCGUGGGGAGCAAAAAGGG